GAGCUCUCCAUUGGGGUCUCCAUGAAGAGUGGGUGGAGGAGGAGGAUGGAGCGGAGUGACGUGUUGUACCUCCUGCAAGCAGAGGUCUCCACAAGGGGGGGCACUACCAGCAGCACGGAGCACUUUGUGGGAUGUCACUACCUCCACGCGGCACCUCGGCCCGGAGUCGCUGCUGAGUUCUGCGUCCGCGUGAGAGUCGCAGUCAACUACCCGCGGAGGAAGACAGGGGAGUGGUCUCCCCUGUCCUGUGUCUCCUUCCCUCCACCACACAGCGCCGUGGCUGCUGCUGGGAUCACCGUGUGGGCCACGGGAGACACGGUGAGCGAGGGAGACACGGCAACUCUCCGCUGUGCGGCGUCCGACAAUCCGCAGUCGGACGCAAUCCAGUGGAGCAACCCUCACGGCGAGACGCUCUACUUCCAGAGCGUCAAGGGUGAGCGGCAAACGCCGUCUCUCUGUGUCUCUGUUUUGUCUCUCUGUCUCUCUGUGUCUCUCUGUCUCUC